CCCUCCUCCCAUCUCUCCUCCCUCUCAUUAUCUGCACAGUUCCCCAGCAUCUCAGUGACGCAGGAAUGAAAGAAACAACAUCAGGAUAACAGGACCAGCAUCAGGACCAUCGCCCGGCUGAUAGCAGGACACAGCAUCAGGACCAUCGCCCGGCUGAUAGCAGGGCACAGCAUCAGGACCAUCAUCCACCUGAUCAGGAGGAGAGGAGGACCAGGGCUCAGCAUCAGGUGAAUCAGGACCAAGGACAGCAGUCUGUGAUAGAGCAAGGCCUGGUGAACAGAGAACCAUGACUAGAGAAGAUCCUCUAGACUGCGCCCCGGAGGAGAACCAACAUCCCCUGGAUUUCCAGAGUCCCAUCGUAGAGAAGAGGAAACGACCCGUGGUUCACCCUUCUGCCCCGGCCCCUCUUCCAAAGGAUUAUGCAUUCACGUUCUUUGACCCCAACGACCCUGCAUGCCAGGAAAUCUUGUUUGACCCUCAAACGACCAUCCCUGAAUUGUUUGCUAUCAUCCGGCAAUGGGUCCCACAAGUCCAGCACAAGAUCGAUGUGAUCGGCAGCGAGAUUUUGAAGAGGGGAUGUCAUGUGAAUGACAGGGAUGGACUAACAGACAUGACACUGUUACACUACGCAUGCAAAGCUGGAGCCCAUGGAGUGGGUUCCCGGUCGAUUGAGUUCUUGACCUCAACUAGGACUUCGCAUCUAGGGCAUCAGUCAGGAGACCCAACAGCUGCUGUUCGACUAACCAAUCAGCUUCUUCAGCUGGGGGCUGACGUAACUCUGCGUAGCCGAUGGACUAACAUGAAUGCCCUACACUAUGCUGCCUACUUUGAUGUCCCAGAACUUCUACGCAUCCUUCUGAAAUCAUCAAAACCUAAAGUGCUAAAUUCCACCUGCAGUGAUUUUAACCAUGGUACCGCUUUGCACAUCGCCGCCUCUAAUCUUUGCCUGGGAGCUGUCAAGUGUCUGCUGGAACAUGGCGGCAACCCCUCUGUCAGGAACAGCAAGGGCCAAGUCCCAGGAGAUGUGGUUCCCGACCCCAUGGAUAUGGGCCUAGAUAAAGCCGAAUCUGCCAUGAUUGCCAAGGAGCUGAGGCAGCUGCUUUUGGACGCGGUGCCCUUAACUUGUAACCUUCCCAAAGUUACGCUACCCAACUAUGACAACAUCCCUGGGAACCUGAUGCUGGCAUCUAUAGGACUGAAGCUGGGGGACAGAGUACUGAUUGAUGCAGAGAAGGCUGCCACAUUGCGCUUUUGUGGCACCACCGAGUUUGCCAGUGGGCAGUGGGUGGGGAUCGAGCUGGACGAGCCAGAGGGAAAGAAUGAUGGCAGUGUGGGAGGCAUUCGCUAUUUUAUUUGUCCCCCCAAACACGGGAUAUUUUCUUCUGUGUCUAAGAUCAGUAAAGCCCCCGAACAACCUCCAUCCUCUGUCACUUCCACACCAAAGACCCCUCGUAUGGACUUUUCCAGGGUCACAGGCAAGGGAAGGAAGGAGAAAAAAUCAACGCAGAAGAAGUCCAUCAGUGUGGGCAGUCUAGACAAAGAGGGACUGAACAUCGACUUGGGGGACCAAGUUCUUGUGGCUGGACAGAAACCGGGAGUGGUACGCUUCUAUGGAAAGACAGAUUUUGCUCCAGGAUACUGGUUUGGAGUCGAGCUGGAAAAGUGUACAGGGAAACAUGAUGGCUCAGUAUUUGGCGUUCGGUAUUUUAACUGUUCCCCAAAACACGGAGUCUUUGCUCCACCCUCUAGAGUUCAGAGAAUCGGUGGCCCAAAAGAACCACAAGCAGACAAUAAUGGAGUGAAAAAAGUGCAUCAAGUAACUAGUAGUCUCACAGCCAAAGCGUAACUUCAACACAGUGCGGACACCGAAAGAGAUUGCAUCAGAAAACUCUCUCUCCAGGUUGCUGUUCUGCUGCUGGUUUCCGUGGCUGCUGCGUACCGAGAUGCAAUCCUAACCUUGUUUCCUGCUAGCCCAGCAUCCUGCCACCUGGAGCCACAGACUGCCGCCUCCCUCUGUCUGUGUCUGCAUCCCCUGACUCCCCAGUGCCUUGUCUAAUGUUCCUCUGACUAAGGGGCCCCUCUGUGUGUCACUGUCCCAUUCAGUGCAGAAUAAAUGGAGGAGUGGGGGCCAGGACAAUCCGGUGUCAUUCUGCUAAAGGUUCACUUGCUUCCGUCUUCUACAGAACCUUCUACCGAAAAGCCAAUCAGCAGGAACCUCCAGCACGGCCUGAGCUUGUCCCAGGUUGCCCUUUAUUCUCUGUUUCUAGGGAUGACAAAACAGACACACUGGGUUACUGCUGACCUAAAGACCUUUAGCUAUCAAGGCAAAAAGCAAAGUGCAUUAAUCCAUCGCCAAUGUCCUGAGUACUCUAGAGUGCAGAAUGCAAAAAUCUGAUUGGUUGCUGCAGGGUGCUGCACAUUAUUGCUCUUUGUGGUAUUAUUAUUUUUUAAAUUAUCCAAAAUACUCUACAAUUACAUAUGUAUCCCUAACCCCAAUCACCACAUUCACCAUCCACUGAUUGGUAUUACCAACUCAUAAUCAAUAACUAAACUAGAGCCCAAUCAAUAACAUAAGUGCAUCAUAUCAUAAACCAACAUUGCUAUAUAUAUAUAUAUAUAUAUAUAUAUAU